rnacentral:tRNA from 1 species
GGGGAUGUGGCGCAGUGGUAGAGCGCUUGCCUGGAAUGCAUGAGGCCCUGGGUUCAAUCCCGGCACCCUCC